CGUUGGAAGUGCAACGAAACACAGAAAGCAAAAUGGGGGUUCAAUUAAUUUGCAAAACUGCAUUAUUCGUAUUUGUGCUGGCAACAAUUUUGGUGGACGACACUUUAACAAAAAGCGUUGCCCAGAACAAUCACUCAAGGAUUUUGGAGAUUGGUAUUUUGGUUGAUCCUACCAACGAGACCUUGUGCCCACCGAGUGGCGACCCCACGGCCCCUUUCGCGGACCCGAACGAUAUGAGGUUAUUUUGAGGAUCCACCAGGCGCAUGCGCAGCCUUUCCAGACACAACUGCGCCAACAACAGAAUCACCAACAACUCAGCCACAAACAACUGAGCCUUCAACUACUGACGCAGUAACCACUGAGUCACCAACAACUGAGCAACCUACAACCACAGUCCUGUCCACGACCACAGACCUACCCACGACCACAUACCUAACCACGACCACAGACCAACCAACAACCACAGAUCAACCAACAACCACAGACCAACCCACGACCACAGACCUACCAACAACCAUAGAUCUACCAACAAGCACGGACCAACCCACAACCACAGAUCUACCAACAACCACAGAUCUACCAACAACCACAGAUCUACCAACAACCACAGAUCUACCAACAACCACAGAUCUACCAACAACCACAGAUCUA